AUACGUAGGGGGCGAGCGUUGUCCGGAAUGAUUGGGCGUAAAGGGCGCGUAGGCGGCCCGGUAAGUCUGGAGUGAAAGUCCUGUUUUUAAGAUGGGAAUUGCUUUGGAUACUGUCGGGCUUGAGUGCAGGAGAGGUAAGUGGAACUCCCAGUGUAGCGGUGAAAUGCGUAGAGAUUGGGAGGAACACCAGUGGCGAAGGCGACUUACUGGACUGUAACUGACGCUGAGGCGCGAAAGUGUGGGGAGCAAACAGGAUUAGAUACCCUGGUAGUCCACACUGUAAACGAUGAAUGCUAGGUGUAGGGGGUAUCGACCCCUUCUGUGCCGCAGUCAACACAAUAAGCAUUCCGCCUGGGGAGUACGGCCGCAAGGUUGAAACUCAAAGGAAUUGACGG
rnacentral:rRNA from 1 species